UACAGAUCGUCAGGAGAGAGUGCCCCCCGGGGUGCCGCCGAAGGCGAGUCAGGGUUCCCCGGAACCCUGACGAGAACGCUCAGGCAAAAGGACUGGCAAACGCUU
rnacentral:ncRNA from 2 species